AUUGAACGCUGGCGGCAUGCUUUACACAUGCAAGUCGAACGGUAACAGGCCGCAAGGUGCUGACGAGUGGCGAACGGGUGAGUAAUGCAUCGGAACGUGCCCAGUCGUGGGGGAUAACUACUCGAAAGAGUAGCUAAUACCGCAUACGAUCUAUGGAUGAAAGCGGGGGACCGUAAGGCCUCGCGCGAUUGGAGCGGCCGAUGUCAGAUUAGGUAGUUGGUGGGGUAAAGGCUCACCAAGCCAACGAUCUGUAGCUGGUCUGAGAGGACAACCAGCCACAGUGGGAAUGAGAGACGGUGCAGGCGAGUAAGGGAGGCAGAAGGGGGGAAGGUGGGACAAUGGGCGCAAGCCUGACGCAGCAAUGGAGCGUGCGGGAAGAGGUGCGUCGAAUCGUAAAAUGCAGUGAUGAGGGAAGAACAGGCGGCGACGGAUACCCGCGUGUCAGGACGGUAAGUAAUAAGAAAGACACGGCUAACUACGUG
rnacentral:rRNA from 1 species